rnacentral:rRNA from 1 species
UACGAAGGGGGCUAGCGUUGCUCGGAAUCACUGGGCGUAAAGGGUGCGUAGGCGGGUCUUUAAGUCAGAGGUGAAAUCCUGGAGCUCAACUCCAGAACUGCCUUUGAUACUGAGGAUCUUGAGUUCGGGAGAGGUGAGUGGAACUGCGAGUGUAGAGGUGAAAUUCGUAGAUAUUCGCAAGAACACCAGUGGCGAAGGCGGCUCACUGGCCCGAUACUGACGCUGAGGCACGAAAGCUAGGGGAGCAAACAGG